rnacentral:sRNA from 1 species
GUUGGAUAUGGUGGCGCACGCCUGUAAUCCCAUUGGCUCAGGAGGCUGAGGCAGGGGGAUUGUGAGUUCAAAGCCAGCCUCAGCAAAAGCAAGGCAUUAAGGAAUUCAGUGAGACCCUGUCUCUA